rnacentral:lncRNA from 1 species
UGGGAACCUCUUGCUGACUGGAGUUUGGCCCUCUCAGUCGUGCGCGCCUGAACUCUGAAUGUGCCGCAGUGUCAGUCUCGGGCCAAGCCGCGGAGCAGCUGUUCCAGUGUGGUUUUCCUGAACCACACUCUUACACCAAGCCCUUUGGGACAAGAACGCUUUGACUAAUCAUUAAGGAUUUCACAACCAGAUGAGACAACAGCUCUUAGGUUAAUUAUCAGAGUACUUAACAUGUAAGUAAAUGUACAUUUAUAUCAUAGCCAUGGUGGUGCACAGCUGUAAUCCCAGCACCUGGGAGGUUGAGGCAGGAGAAUCACUGCAAGUUCAAGGCCAGCCUGGGCUACAUAGUGAGACCCUGUCUCAACCUCCCCGCGCCAAAUACAUGCAUACAUUUAUAUGUAAUAUGCACAAUGUGAUUACAAAUAUGGUGUUUCAAUUUUUAUGAAUUUAUUACAGUAAGAAAUACACAUUAAUCCCCUCAAAGUACUCCUCACUUUGAACAGUCUUAUCCCUUGACCUUGCCUCUUUCUGAAGCAUUUCUGGAAGUCAGAUCCAGUGAACAAGGUGUAAAUGAGGACGCAUUGUCAUUUUUCUGUCACCUGCUUUUCCUUUGGGUUGCACUUGACCCCAGCAUUUGCUGUUAUUUUGUUUUUGUUUUGAUUUUGGGGGGAUUUUUUGUUUGUGUUUUUUUGAUACUGGGGCUCGAACUUGGGACGUUGGGCUUGGGAGGCGGGCAGCAGAACCACUGAGCUAAAUCCCCAGCCCUUGCUGUAUUUUUAAUCCCACCUCAUAGAGACAUUUAUGGAAGCAGACUUCCAGAACUCCUUUUAGAAGGUGCCAGGACUGAUGGGAUAAAUGUGUUUAAAGGGGGAGUAUUUUGAGGAGAGUUAAUGGCAAUGUAUAUUUUACUGUGUUUUUUAAUUUACACAUUGUACAUUUUGAUCACAUCUGGUUUGGUAGAAGUGUCAUCCCCAGGUGUCCACAGGACAUUGGUUCCAAGACCCCGUUUGGAAACAGAAAUCCUCCCAUGUGCAAGUCCCUUCUGUAAAACAGUAUAGCAUUCUUAUACAAGCUAUACACAUCCUCCUGUAUGGUUUGAAUCAUGUCUAGGUUACUUAAUUUAAAUAAUUUAAUACAGCAUAAGUUAUAUGUAAAUAGCUAUUGUGCUGUAUUAUUUAGGAAAUAAUGACCAGGAAAAAAAUCUGUACAUGUUCACUGCAGAUGAUUUUUUCCCCCAAAAUUU